UACAGAGGUCUCAAGCGUUGUUCGGAUUCAUUGGGCGUAAAGGGUGCGUAGGUGGCACCGUAAGUCGGGUGUGAAAUUUCGGAGCUUAACUCCGAAACUGCAUUCGAUACUGCGGUGCUCGAGGACUGGAGAGGAGACUGGAAUUCAUGGUGUAGCAGUGAAAUGCGUAGAGAUCAUGAGGAAGACCAGUGGCGAAGGCGGGUCUCUGGACAGUUCCUGACACUGAGGCACGAAGGCCAGGGGAGCAAACGGG
rnacentral:rRNA from 1 species